rnacentral:rRNA from 1 species
AGAGUUUGAUCCUGGCUCAGAACGAACGCUGGCGGCAUGCCUAACACAUGCAAGUCGAACGCCCCGCAAGGGGAGUGGCGAACGGGUGAGUAACGCGUGGGAACCUACCCAGCAGUUGGGGAUAACCGCGGGAAACUGCGGCUAAUACCGAAUACGUCCUAAGGGAGAAAGAUUUAUCGCUGUUGGAGGGGCCCGCGUCG